GGCCUGGUGGUGUAGUGGUAAUACAUCCUCUAAGUUUGGGUAACGAAUAUGUGGACUCGGGGGAAGUUCCCCGUUUGAACCGGGGCCAGGCCA